rnacentral:rRNA from 1 species
UCGUAAAACCCUUUUCUGUGUGACGAGGAAGGACGGUAGCACAGGAAUAAGUGUCGGCUAACUACGUGCCAGCAGCCGCGGCAAAACGUAGGACACAAGCGUUAUCCGGAAUUACUGGGCGUAAAGGGCGUGCAGGCGGCGCGGUAAGUGAGGCGUGAAAGCUCCCGGCUAAACCGGGAGAGGUCGUCUGAGACUGCCGUGCUAGAGUGUGGUAGAGGGGUGUAGAAUUCCGGGUGUAGUGGUGAAAUGCGUAGAGAUCCGGAGGAAUACCAGUGGCGAAGGCGGCACCCUGGACCACGACUGACGCUGAGACGCGAAAGCAUGGGGAGCGAACGGGAUUAGAAACCCCGGUAGUCCAUGCCGUAAACGAUGUGCACUAGGUGUUCUGGCCCUACGGGGUUGGAGUGCCGCAGCCAACGCGAUAAGUGCACCGCCUGGGGAGUACGGUCGCAAGGCUAAAACUCAAAGGAAUUGACGGGGGCCCGCACAAGCAGCGGAGCGUGUGGUUUAAUUCGAGGCUACGCGAAGAACCUUACCUGGGUUUGACAUAGCGGUGGUAGGGAAGCGAAAGUGGACCGACCUUCGGGAGCCGUUACAGGUGCUGCAUGGCUGUCGUCAGCUCGUGUCGUGAGAUGUUCGGUUAAGUCCGAAAACGAGCGCAACCCCUGGUGCUAGUUACAAGUGUCUAGCGCGACUGCCCGUGACAAACGGGAGGAAGGUGGGGAUGACGUCAAGUCAGCAUGGCCUUUAUAUCCAGGGCUACACACACGCUACAAUGGCCGGUACAGUAGGUAGCCAAGCCGCGAGGCGGAGCCAAUCCUCCAAAGCCGGUCCCAGUUCGGAUUGUAGGCUGCAACUCGCCUGCAUGAAGUUGGAGUUGCUAGUAACCGCAGGUCAGCAACACUGCGGUGAAUACGUUCCCGGGCCUGUACACACCGCCCGUCACGUCAUGGGAGCUGGUCACGC